GCAAGAGCAGCAAAUGUUCUGAAUCACUGAGCUAUCUCUCCAGUGUUGUACACAGGUUUAGAUAUGACCAGAAAGUUGAGCUUUUUGCUAUAUUCUUUCAGUGUACAGUGAUAGAAAGGACAUCAGGUAAAAAUAAAUGUCACCGAGAAUUCACAGUCAUUCCCCACAACCCAAAAGCUAAAGGUUAGGGAAAGAUACCCCAAAACCCCACUGGAACACACAUAGGCUGGCCUGAGGAGUUCAUAAUCAGGUUAAUUGGCCUGUGCUUCCCAUGCUGGAUAGACUCUCCUUGUCUCUGGUGUAUCAUUAGGACUGUUCUUCUUCAUAUGGAAAUUAUGUAUAGAUCUUGCUUUUUUUGUUGGCAGAUAUCAAGAACCUCCCCAGAUGCAGGAACAAUGGAUAUAACAUUGGGUGUGUAGAUGGAAGAUCCGGGUCCUUGUGCUGACUUUGCUGUACGGCAGCUAUGUGACCUGGUUGCUUGAUUACUUACAUUUUGUUUUGUCAAUGUGGAGGUACUACUCAUCUUCCUGGCCUAAGAAGGUGACCCUGAGGUGCUGUCUCUUGUGUACACGAGUUGAGUCUUGUCCUAAUCUCCUUCGGCUUGGAUGUAGCUCUUGGGAAAGGGCUGCUAUGUCUUAAUGUACUCAGCUGCUCAUCCAAGACGAUAAAGCCAUUGAUGCUUCCAGUGGCAGCUGUCUUCAAACCCUUGGCAUGUUUAAAAACAAACUCAGAAAACUAGGCUCUGGGGACCAGAGAACCAAGUGCAAUUUAUUGUAUGAUGGAAAACAUUUUAGGAAGCCCAAGAAGAAAAGGAAGUCCUUUCAGCAUCUUCCUUAAGAUCCACAAAUGGUCAUCCUUGUAUUUUUCCAAUCGCUAAGGCACUUUUUUUUCUCCUCUGAAAGUCAUAAAGGAUUUGGUGGUUCUCAAGAAAUGAUGCAAAAGUAUCCUUAAGUAACCUGAGGCUGUGUGUACUGCUUUCUCUAUGUUUGAUGAGUAGUGACAUUCUACAAUAAAACAAUGCAUGGAGCAAUCA
rnacentral:lncRNA from 1 species